rnacentral:lncRNA from 1 species
AUCCAUUUAGAAACCUAAAGCAAAAUAGGUCUUCAACACAAUACCUAUAGUCUCGAACGGAGUACCCAUACAGAAGACCUAUUUUGGAUAUUAGGAGAGACAUAACCUAAAUUUAGAUAUCCUCUCUCCUCGAGACCCAUUUGCAGAGAGUGUUGUCUUUUAGGUCUUGUUUUUUUUUACGGAAGUCAGCAAGGGAAACCCCAGUCUAUGUCUUUUAGGUCUUGUUUUUUUUUACGGAAGUCAGCAAGGGAAACCCCAGUCUAUUUUUUCAUUUUUUUUAUAAUGCAGACCUGUUUAAAUUCGCUUCCACAGGUUUUUUAGUCUUGUUGUUGGAGAAGACUAAAAAUAGGUAUGAAAUUUUUUACCUGUAGCGCUACCAAAAGACAAAUGAGUCUUGUAUUUUGGGUGACAAUUGUUAGAGAUAGUCUUACACAAAGAGAAUUUAAGCCCCAUUUGGUUCCAUUGAAUUUUUUAAACUCUCUUCACAUCAAAUAUUUAGACAUAUAUACACCAUCAACCAAAUACCCUAACCUUGCAGUACUCGAUGGAGGUAGCGUCGUAGCUUAGCUAUUGAUUGUUCAAUGCAUAGGUCAGAGAGCAAGGGGUCACCGGAGCUCUCUAGUGGAGAGCACUAGAGACUUGUUUGCCUAGGAUUAAUUGUGAUUGAGUCGGUUGGCCUCCUAUGUGAGGGCGAGCGAACACAUCCGCAAAUCUGUUAAAUAUUUAGGCCCUGUUUAGAUUGAAAAUAAAAAAUUUUUAGGUGUCAUAUCGGAUGUGUCGGAAAGAUAUCGGAAGGAAUUUUUAGAAACUAAUCAAAAAACAAAUUACAUAGCUCAUCAGGAAAACUACAAGACAAAUCUAUUAAGCAUAAUUAAUCUAUCAUUAGCACAUGUGAGUUACUGUAGCACUUAAGGCUAAUCAUGGAGUAACUAGGCUUAAAAGAUUCGUCUCACGUUUUUUUAAUCAAACUGUGUAAUUAGUUUAUUUUUUUAUGUACGUUUAAUGUUCCAUGCAUAUGUCUAAAGAUUCGAUGGGAUGAACGAAAAAAUUUUAGGUGGGA